ACGCUCGACACCUAGGAGGCAGCAGUGAGGAAUAUUGGUCAAUGGGCGCUAGCCUGAACCAGCCAAGUAGCGUGAAGGAUGAAGGCUCUAUGGGUCGUAAACUUCUUUUAUAUAAGAAUAAAGUGCAGUAUGUAUACUGUUUUGUAUGUAUUAUAUGAAUAAGGAUCGGCUAACUCCGUGCCAGCAGCCGUGGUAAUCUGAGCGGGCUGGCAAGGC
rnacentral:rRNA from 1 species